rnacentral:rRNA from 1 species
GUUUGAUCCUGGCUCAGGACGAACGCUGGCGGCGUGCUUAACACAUGCAAGUCGAACGAUGAAGCCUUUCGGGGUGGAUUAGUGGCGAACGGGUGAGUAACACGUGGGCAAUCUGCCCUUCACUCUGGGACAAGCCCUGGAAACGGGGUCUAAUACCGGAUAACACUCUGUCCCGCAUGGGACGGGGUUAAAAGCUCCGGCGGUGAAGGAUGAGCCCGCGGCCUAUCAGCUUGUUGGUGGGGUGAUGGCCUACCAAGGCGACGACGGGUAGCCGGCCUGAGAGGGCGACCGGCCACACUGGGACUGAGACACGGCCCAGACUCCUACGGGAGGCAGCAGUGGGGAAUAUUGCACAAUGGGCGAAAGCCUGAUGCAGCGACGCCGCGUGAGGGAUGACGGCCUUCGGGUUGUAAACCUCUUUCAGCCAGGGAAGAAGCGAAAGUGAC